GACGAACGCUGGCGGCGUGCUUGACACAUGCAAGUCGAACGAUGAAGCCGGAGCUUGCUCUGGUGAAUUAGUGGCGAACGAGUGAGUAACACGUGAGUAACCUGCCCUUGACUCUGGGAUAACUGCGGGAAACUGUAGCUAAUACCGGAUACGACCCUCGGAGGCAUCUCCUGGGGGUGGAAAGCAUUUCGGUCAAGGAUGGACUCGCGGCCUAUCAGCUAGUUGGUGAGGUAAAGGCUCACCAAGGCGACGACGGGUAGCCGGCCUGAGAGGGUGACCGGCCACACUGGGACUGAGACACGGCCCAGACUCCUACGGGAGGCAGCAGUGGGUAAUAUUGCACAAUGGGCGCAAGCCUGAUGCAGCAACGCCGCGUGAGGGAUGACGGCCUUCGGGUUGUAAACCUCUUUUAGCAGGGAAGAAGCGAAAGUGACGGUACCUGCAGAAAAAGCACCGGCUAACUACGUGCCAGCAGCCGCGGUAA
rnacentral:rRNA from 1 species